UGUCAUUUAAACAAUUUUACUAAUUCAUACUCUUUAUUUUUCUUUCAGAUGCUGUAGAGAAAGCGUACAGAAGAAGAAAAUUGAAAGUUGAGUAUAGUUUACUUUACAUAGGCCCCCUACCCUGUCAUUUAAACAAUUUUACUAAUUCAUACUCUUUAUUUUUCUUUCAGAUGCUGUAGAGAAAGCGUACAGAAGAAGAAAAUUGAAAGUUGAGUAUAGUUUACUUUACAUAGGCCCCCUACCCUGUCAUUUAAACAAUUUUACUAAUUCAUACUCUUUAUUUUUCUUUCAGAUGCUGUAGAGAAAGCGUACAGAAGAAGAAAAUUGAAAGUUGAGUAUAGUUUACUUUACAUAGGCCCCCUAUAUUGUCAUUUAAACAAUUUUACUAAUUCAUACACUUUAUUUUUCUUUCAGAUGCUGUAGAGAAAGCGUACAGAAGAAGAAAAUUGAAAGUUGAGUAUAGUUUACUUUACAUAGGCCCCCUACCCUGUCAUUUAAACAAUUUUACUAAUUCAUACUCUUUAUUUUUCUUUCAGACAUUAUUAUAUAAUUUAGUGUCUGACAUUUAUGAUUUAAUUACUGUAUUUUGUUAAAUUUUGCUGAAUCAAUUAUUAAUUAAAGUAACUUGAUUGGACAAAGAAUUAAUUUUAGAAUUUAGUUUGAUAUAUAAAGAAGUUGUAGUUAAAGAAAUGUCUCCCCAUACUUAUUUUUAUUCAUUCCCUAGGCUAGAUCUCUUUAACUUACCUGGUUCAAUUACAUGUAUAGCAAAAAGGUGAACUUUUGCCAUCAUUUUGUAUACAUUAUAGAAGUAAGAUGUGUUACAUUGUACAUAAUUGCCAGUGACUCAACUGUCCACCAGAGCUCACAUGAAUUGGAAGUUGGCAAUUAUAGCUACACAACUAUAAAACCUUCAACAAUGAGAAAAACUUAUAUCCAACAUGAAAAAUACCAAACAAUUCAAAUAAAGACACCAAAGACAUAAUUAAUAAUAAAACAAUUUAUUAAGAAAAUAUGACAGAUAUAAACGAACAACCACUGAACUACAGGCUCUUUAUUAUCAGUAUCUGUUUGUCAUAUUAAUAUCUGUUAUAUUAUAUCUGUUAACAUUUCAUUAAAAUAUCCAUUAACUCACACCCCUAUUCAAAUUGAAACUAAACUUAAUAACAAUAUUUACUUAACUGUUAAUUUAUCAUUGCAUCAUGUAAUACCUUUUAUAUUAAUUCUUUCAGGACAUGCAACUUUUAUUGGAAAGGAGACAGAAAAUGUGCUGUCAUUCGAUUUAAGAAGCAAGACAUGUAAGAUUUGUGAGUUCCAUCAAAACAGAAAAGAGACAGUUCUGGAGCAUCAGUGUCAUUUGAUUUGGCAUGGGUCUAGUAAAUUCAUGGAGGCAGAUGUGGCAGUGUUCAUGGCCCACAGAUUAAAAGAUGAUGUAUGUGAAAUGAAUGUCAUAUUUAUAGAUUAUCAUUGAUUAUCUCAACGAGAUUGAUUUUCUCGCUUGAGCUGGUACAGUUGAGAUGACCAAUGAUAAUCUGUUUAUCGCUAUUUUACCUAUGACGACGUUGUCAGUUUCAAUGUCAAUUUCGUUAGCAACGCCACAUGACCUCCUUAGUUUCUAGCGAUAAUGUUUCCAUCUCAAGCAAUAAGCAUGAUAUGAAAAUAAUCACAAAAAAAAGAUCAAAGUAAAAAUGUACAAAAUAGCGAUAAAUACUGAUAAUGAUGCAGCAACAUCUGAGCCAGACUUGAAGUUGAGUUUGGAAACCUUCAGAAAAAAGAUGGCCAGAACCAUGUGAAGACAAAUCAACAAGCUUGUGUAAUAUUUCAAAGAGUUACAAAGAAUUGCAAAAGAAUGAAACAAAACAAUAUAUAUUGAGGUGCUUUAUGUAUGCCAUUAAGGGAUGUGACAAAGAAGAUGACAUUAAGAUUGGGCUGCAAAGAAUUGUACCACAUAUUUUGGGAUCACAUGAUUGAAGGUUUAAAGGUUAAAUUGAAUAAUUUAGUGCAAAAAUUGAUUGGUAGAAGUAAUUCUUUAAAUGAUCUUGGAUCUAGACAGUCAAAUGAAAGCUUUAACCAGCUUGUAUCUGUAAAGGCACCUAAAUCAAGGUAUUAACAUUAAAGAAUACAGUUAAAGUUAACCACAGACUGGAAAAUCUUGUUGUGAAUCUAAAAUUGCCCACAUGAGAACAAAGAUGAAAACUGUUGUGGCUUCAGGAAAAAACAUGAUAACUGACAAAGAUAUGAAAGUUAGUAUUGAUGAAGGGUCAAGUGUUGUUGGUUGUCAGGAUCAAGAACUAUUUAGAUAUAUUUUGUAAAUCCUUCAAGUUGUUAUUCAAGACAAAAUUACACAGAUACCACCAUUCCACAGAAUAUGGAAUUUGGACAUUGAUGGAUUAGAGUUAAAGCCAUCUCAUAUUACAAUUGAGGAUGAAGAUAUCUUUUAUAUAAGGCCAUCUGAUAUGAUCAAUUUGCAGCUAUCAAAAGUUAAAAUUGCCGAACAAAUUCAAAGAUAUAUUUGUCUAUCUGUCAAAUCCUCCAUAAACAUAAUGUAUAUAAAGGAAAUGAUCAUGCUAGAAUUAAAAAUCUGAUACAAUUAUCAACUGAGAAAAGUAUGGAAGUAGAUGUCCCAGUGAAUGUAUUUGAUGAUGAUACUAGUGCAAAUAGCUGGGUAAAGGGUUGGUGGAAAAUAAAAUUGCAGCAGAGUCUUGCCACAGUAUGAAUGCUGCAGCUAAAGAAAAUUGCAGAUUUUAUAAGGUGAGAAAUA